rnacentral:rRNA from 1 species
CAGUCGCCGCGGGAAUACGAAGGGUGCAAGCGUUAAUCGGAAUUACUGGGCGUAAAGCGUGCGCAGGCGGUUUGUUAAGACAGAUGUGAGAUCCCCGGGCUCAACCUGGGAACUGCAUUUGUGACUGGCAAGCUAGAGUGUGGCAGAGGGGGGUGGAAUUCCGCGUGUAGCAGUGAAAUGCGUAGAUAUGCGGAGGAACACCGAUGGCGAAGGCAGCCCCCUGGGCCAACACUGACGCUCAUGCACGAAAGCGUGGGGAGCAAACAGGAUUAGAUACCCCAGUAGUCCCUGUCUCUUAUAC